rnacentral:rRNA from 1 species
GAUGAACGCUGACAGAAUGCUUAACACAUGCAAGUCGAUUCAAGUUACCUUCGGGUAAUGAGGAUGGCGGACGGGUGAGUAACGCGUAAGGAACUUGCCUCUUGGUCUGGGACAACUGUUGGAAACGACAGCUAAUACCGGAUAUUAUGAGAUUCUCGCAUGGGAAACUUAUGAAAGCUAUAUGCGCCAAGAGAGAGCCUUGCGUUCCAUUAGCUAGUUGGUGGGGUAACGGCCCACCAAGACGACGAUGGAUAGCCGGCCUGAGAGGGUGAACGGCCACAAGGGGACUGAGACACGGCCCUUACUCCUACGGGAGGCAGCAGUGGGGAAUAUUGGACAAUGGGCCACAAGCCUGAUCCAGCAAUUCUGUGUGCACGAUGAAGGUCUUCGGAUUGUAAAGUGCUUUCAGUUGGGAAGAAGAAAGUGACGGUACCAACAGAAGAAGCGACGGCUAAAUACGUGCCAGCAGCCGCGGUAAUACGUAUGUCGCAAGCGUUAUCCGGAUUUAUUGGGCGUAAAGCGCGUCUAGGCGGAAAAAUAAGUCUGAUGUUAAAAUGCGGGGCUCAACUCCGUAUUGCGUUGGAAACUGUUUUUCUAGAGUACUGGAGAGGUGGGCGGAACUACAAGUGUAGAGGUGAAAUUCGUAGAUAUUUGUAGGAAUGCCGAUGGAGAAGUCAGCUCACUGGACAGAUACUGACGCUGAAGCGCGAAAGNNUGGGGAGNAAACAGGAUUAGAUACCCNGGUAGUCCACGCCGUAAACGAUGAUCACUAGGU